rnacentral:rRNA from 1 species
AGAGUUUGAUCCUGGCUCAGGAUGAACGCUAGCGGCAGGCUUAACACAUGCAAGUCGAGGGGCAGCGGGGAGGAAGCUUGCUUUCUCCGCCGGCGACCGGCGCACGGGUGAGUAACACGUAUGCAACCUGCCCCUGUCAGGGGGACAACCCGCCGAAAGGCGGGCUAAACCCGCGUACAUGCCACCGGGGCAUCCCGGAGGCAGGAGAGGCUUCGGCCGGACAGGGAUGGGCAUGCGGCGCAUUAGGCAGUAGGCGGGGUAACGGCCCACCUAACCGACGAUGCGUAGGGGUUCUGAGAGGAAGGUCCCCCACACUGGUACUGAGACACGGACCAGACUCCUACGGGAGGCAGCAGUGAGGAAUAUUGGUCAAUGGUCGGGAGACUGAACCAGCCAAGCCGCGUGAGGGAGGAAGGUACAGAGUAUCGUAAACCUCUUUUGUCAGGGAACAAAGGCGGGGACGUGUCCCCGGAUGAGUGUACCUGAAGAAAAAGCAUCGGCUAACUCCGUGCCAGCAGCCGCGGUAAUACGGAGGAUGCGAGCGUUAUCCGGAUUUAUUGGGUUUAAAGGGUGCGCAGGCGGUCUGUUAAGUCAGCGGUCAAAGCCCGGGGCUCAACCCCGGCCCGCCGUUGAAACUGGCAGUCUCGAGUUGGAGAGAAGUAUGCGGAAUGCGCGGUGUAGCGGUGAAAUGCAUAGAUAUCGCGCAGAACUCCGAUUGCGAAGGCAGCAUGCCGGCUCCACACUGACGCUGAGGCACGAAAGCGUGGGUAUCGAACAGGAUUAGAUACCCUGGUAGUCCACGCAGUAAACGAUGAAUGCUGGCUGUCCGGGGGGAUUGACCCCUGGGUGGCGAAGCGAAAGCGAUAAGCAUUCCACCUGGGGAGUACGCCGGCAACGGUGAAACUCAAAGGAAUUGACGGGGGCCCGCACAAGCGGAGGAACAUGUGGUUUAAUUCGAUGAUACGCGAGGAACCUUACCCGGGCUCAAACGGGGAGUGACUCAGGCAGAGACGCCUGUUUCCCACGGGACACUCCCCGAGGUGCUGCAUGGUUGUCGUCAGCUCGUGCCGUGAGGUGUCGGCUUAAGUGCCAUAACGAGCGCAACCCCCGCGUGCAGUUGCUAACAGAUAACGCUGAGGACUCUGCACGGACUGCCGGCGCAAGCCGCGAGGAAGGCGGGGAUGACGUCAAAUCAGCACGGCCCUUACGUCCGGGGCGACACACGUGUUACAAUGGGUGGUACAGCGGGAAGCCAGGCGGCGACGCCGAGCGGAACCCGAAAUCCACUCUCAGUUCGGAUCGGAGUCUGCAACCCGACUCCGUGAAGCUGGAUUCGCUAGUAAUCGCGCAUCAGCCAUGGCGCGGUGAAUACGAACGCGGGCCUUGCACUCACCGCCCGUCA